GACAGAGGGUGCAAACGUUGUUCGGAAUUACUGGGCGUAAAGCGUGUGUAGGUGGCUGCGAAAGUCGGAUGUGAAAGCCCUGGGCUCAACUCAGGAAGUGCACCCGAUACUGCGUAGCUCGAGUACCGGAGAGGUUGGUAGAAUUCUCGGUGUAGAGGUGAAAUUCGCAGAUAUCGAGAGGAAUACCUGUGGCGAAGGCGGCCAACUGGACGAGUACUGACACUGAGACACGAAAGCGUGGGGAGCAAACAGG
rnacentral:rRNA from 1 species